AGCCACUGCCCACCGCACACUGCGCUGCUCCGGACCCACUGUGCGUGUGACAGCGGCUGA
ensembl:miRNA